GGGGGCUCCAAGAUGGCGGAGGAGACCGCGGGCGGCGGGGGGGUUCGGCGCGGGGCGGGGGCGGACCGGGACGAUGAAGGGGCGAUGGCGACGGAGCGGGGCCCGGGCGCGGCGUAUCACAUGUUCGUGCUGAUGGAGGACCUGCUGGACAAGCUGAAGCUGCUGAGCUACGAGGAGGAGGCGCUGCGCCGCCACAACAUGCGGCCGCUCUCCAGGCACUACUUUGCACUGCCCACUAAUCCUGGUGAGCAGUUCUUUAUGUUUUGUACGCUUGCCGCUUGGCUGAUCACUAAAGCGGGACAUCCCUUCGAACAGCCACAAGAAUAUGAUGACCCCAAUGCAAUAAUAUCAAAUGUACUCUCAGAAUUGCGAUCGUUUGGAAGGCCUGUGGAUUUUCCUCCCUCAAAAUUAAAGGCAGGUUACGGAGAGCAAGUGUGCUAUGUUCUUGAUUGUUUAGCUGAAGAAGCUUUGAAAUACACUGGCUUUAGCUGGAAGAGGCCAGCAUAUCCAACAGAAGAGCUAGAAGAAGAAGAAAUAACAGAAGAUGAUGCUGAAUUAACACUUAAUAAACUGGAAGAGGAUGUUGCGGAAGAAGAGUCAGACAAUGAAGAAGAUUUUAUUGACCUCAGUGUUCUAAAGGCACAAACGUACAGAUCGGACAUGAAUGACACUGCAAAGCAAGAAGAGAUUUUACAGUCCACGACAGAUGCAGCAGAGUGGAAUCUGGAAGUGGAACGUGUGCUUCCACAGCUGAAAGUUACAGUCAGGACUGACAAUAAGGAUUGGAGGAUUCAUGUAGAUCAAAUGCAUCAGCAUAAGGAUGGAAUUGAAUCUUCUUUGAAAGAAACUAGGGGUUACCUUGACAAACUCCAUAAUGAAAUCAGCAGAACAUUGGAAAAGAUAAAUAGCAGGGAAAAGUACAUCAACAAUCAGUUGGAGCACUUGGUUCAAGAGUACCGUUCAGCACAAGCCUUGCUGAGUGAGGCUAAAGAGAAGUACCAAGAGGGAAGUGGAGGAGUAACUGAAAGGAUUAGAGUGCUUUCUGAGAUUACAGAAGUAUUAGAGAGAGUAAAGCAGGAAACGGAAGAGAAAGGAAGCAGUAUGACCGAUGGUGCUCCUCUAGUGAAGAUUAAACAAGCCUUAACAAAACUGAAGCAAGAAACCAUUCAGAUGGACAUACAAAUUGGUGUAAUGGAACACACAUUACUCCAGUCAAAGCUGAAAGAGAAAUCCAAUAUGACUAGAGAUAUGCAUGCAACAAUGAUUCCAGAAGCCACAGACACCCAGGAACCAAUGCUGUUCAAGCUUUCCUGGUGAUCUCCAUUCCCACCACAUGACCAGCUAGGGCAGUUAUAUCGCUCAUAUUGCUGAGCCGGACCUUGCUCUUCCCCAGAAAUCAUAUUCCUGGGUGUACAUGUCACCCUGUCAGGAGGAAGCGACCAUGGCAUUCUAUGAAAAGUUGCUUCAGGCAAAGAAGGGCACUGCUCUCAGUGGCCAGCCCGAAUCACAGACCACAUACUCAGUGCCUCUGCCUUGGAGAGAGCUGAAAACGGAACCAAGACCCUGUGGGCAUCUGCAACUACCUGCAUGCGGAGUGAAGAAAGGCAGUGUUAAGGAGAUGGUAGUUGUGAUCGCUCCCAUGGAGGACGGACUUGGGAGGACAAAAGCUGGUGAACAUGAGGAAACAAUUGGACAUGCCUAUGUAGAGAAACAAUCCCGGAAAGGAAACAGGAAGGCUGCAGCAUGGGAAAAGUCAUCAGUAGCUGGAUGAGGCUGUUUCUGUGACGUAAAGGGGCAGAAGGCAGCUGCAAUUGCAGAAGAAGGCAGCAAGGAAGCAAAAGCACUGGAGCAAGUAUAUUUGCUGUGAGAGUGAACAGCAAGAGAAAAGCGCAGUUGACAGGAAAAAGGAGCAGCUCGCUUAAAGGAAGGAGAAAGAGGCAUGGAGGGUGGGGAGAAUAGACUAGUACGAAAUUGGAGUUCACUACAGCCUUAACAGAAGCUAACCUGGUUGAAAAUACUCUGGUGUAACCAAAUUCAGGUGGAAAAAUGCCCACAUGACGAGACCAAAACACUUUACUUGAAACAAGCCAGUUGCAGAGUUCAAGCUAGGGUUCAGCUGGAGUGCUGCCUGCGUCCCUGGCAUCCUGCCCCAGAGCCACAGACAAACCAUAUGUCUCCGUGCCCUGGGCCAGUCUGCCUAAGACUCCUGGCUCCACAGAGAUCCACCAAGCUGGAGAAGGCAAUGCCUCGUGGACUGCCUACACUGGCUCUGAAAGCCUCGGAAGCCCCAGCUUGAACAGCCGCUCAGCUGUACAGGUAAGUGUUGGCAUGAAGCCUGUCUGGAGAUGCAGCACUCUGCCAGCAGUCACAAUAGGAAAAACCAAACAUGCAGCCCUGGGACUUCAGCUUUACCGCUAGCUUAAACCGAUCUAACAAGAAGCUGCUGUGGGUAGGUUCAGUUGCCCGUUUCGUUUCCUGAUCUGCACCUUUCUGCCACUUCUCCUGCACGAGUUGCCAACGUACAGCAGCGUGAUGAGUUGGAACAGCUCACAGAUCAGCCUGAAAACUAACCCUGUAGGAGCCCCCUCUGCCUGCCCAUCCCACAGCAGUCGGCUCAGCAGCCCCUUGGAAAGACACAGAGUAGGAAACAGAGGAAAGGAAGGCACGGGUGAGUUUUUUGUUGGCAAUCCCCAGUUAAACCAGCUUCAGCUGGUGGUCCAGCUGCAGCCUACAAGGCCAGAGUCUAUGAUUCCCCAUUAGCUAUUAAUGGCUCCUACCAGGACUGAAGAGUUUCACCCAACAGGCAGGCCAACAGUACAUAAUAACUAAAACCAAAAUACUCUGCUAAUUAUUCCAGUACUUAGUGUUUCUUACAUUUGAAUUUGAUCUUGAGAAGUCAUGUCAGACAAACAAUUAAAUGAUCCCACCUCCACCCCACAAAAGCUUUUAAUUUCAAGAGAGAAUAGAUUCCUUGCCCCCUGCCCCCCCUCCAGACUCUCUUGAAUAUAAUUUUGAAAAAGACCUUCAUGGCUAAGUUAAACAUUGGGCAAGAGAAUGGCAGAAUGCCGGCCACUUUAUCUCAUAAUAUUAUAAUAAUAAAGAUGUUGUAUAAUAUUAUUACCCUUUUAUACUCAUUUUGGCCUUUUCCCUGUUGUCUUGGAACAUCUCCUUUGUCAUUCAUUGAUUUUAUUCUUAAUAAUAGCAGUACCCUGAAACACAGGCUAGACUGAGGCUCGUGCACACAACCAUACAAGAAGAUAGAGCAAUCACAUUCACCCACGGUGCUUUUCAGUGUAAUAUCUGUUGUCUUGAGUGGAAGUUUCACCUCCUCUCUCUCUCUCUCUCCAUUGUGGGCUCUAAAAUAUGCAGAAACCAGGAGCUCAGGGAGUCUGAGCUAAAAAAGACUGGAGGCUGAGGAAGCAAGAACGUAAGAACUGCGUCUGCCCUUUUCCCCAGGCAUCCACAUCUGGGCACUGUCAUUACACGACAUGGGGCUAAAUUGCUCUUAGGGCAGAUCCAGCACAGCCAGUUUCGUAUGUUAUACAGCACCUGAAUUUGGCUCUGGAAAGUGGUAAGAAUUAACACCUGCAUCUCAUGGAAUUUUUGCCAUCAGCUGAAGCUUUGUGAUUAGCAAAUUACACACCAUCACAAAUCAUAUCGAGCAUUCACUGGGGAAACAUUCCUCAAUCCAUUCCGUUUCCCUGUUCAAGCAGCUUUAUGCACUAUUCGUAAUGCUGUAUAGAAAUGGCAUACAUGACAUUGCAUGCACAUAAAAAUUCUCUAAAAAAAUUAAACACUUGCUAAUCUUGUGGGGACAUUGUGCUAAAAGUGGUGUAUCCAUGAAAAGAAAACCAAAUUCCACCUCAUGCAAGCUUAUCAAGAAAACAUACACAAUAUGCAACCAUUUCACAGCUGCCAAGAGAGAUCAGUCUAAUUUCUUUUUUUAGCUAGAAGGGGAAAUCUAACCAGGCAAAGCUGUUGGGAGCCAAGAAGACUAUUAAAAAAAAAAAAGUAGAAACCAUCCACAAUUUCAUCCAAAGGCAGAAGAGUUUGUCAGUGAAAUGCAUGCACUGGACCAAGUGAAAUAGUGGUGACAUUAAUGUGGCUGCACAUGAGGCAUGUCAAUUAAUGAAUUUGUUUGUGGCCUAUUUGUAAUUCUGGGAACUACUGCUACAGAAAACAUUUUGUGCAGUUCUGUUUCUGGUAUUCCUCUGUCCUUUUCUCUCCCAUCCUCCCCCCUCUCUGUCCCCUCUCGGCCCUCACCCAUACAACAACUGGUUGCAUGUUAACAGUAUUUCUCUUUGUGCCUAUGCAAAUACCAUUAGAUCCAAGCAUAUCCCACGGAAUUUGAGGCUAUCUGUUCGCAUGUACUGGGUAGUCAACAACUUCCACAGGACAACCAUUCUCCUCACCCAGCUUUUGUUUUCUUAAAAAUAUCUCAGGAAUGGUCUGAAUUGCUUAAAUGUUUUAAAUUAGUACCAAAAGAAGUCCCCCCACUCACCUCCCCAACUGCCCCUAACCCCCGUGCCAUUAGAAACCCAUUCAGCCCAAAGGGAGGCCAGAUGUUAAAAUCAUUUGGAAAAAAAUGAGUAUUUGGACGGUGGCAGGGUGGCUGGAUUAUCCAGCCCCGCUGGAGAAUGAGAGCCGUCGGUUCCCUGUAUGUAGCAGCUAAACCAAGACGGAGGGAGGACAGGGGCUGCACAGUCCUUGCCCGGGCUCCGCUGGGAAGCGGCGUGGAGAGGGCGCAGGGCCCUCCCGGGGAUGGCAUGCGAGCUGCCACACAAAAGGUGGCUCCAGGAGACUUCGUGCCUCAGAGAUACACCUAGGAAUCAAAACUUCUCUGCUCUCUGGGAGAGGGCAAUUAAUGGCUUACUCCAUAUUCCUGGAGCGAUUCAUGUCCAGCUUCGGAUCCCAGUGCAAGUUGCCCUUAUAGACGCCACGGGGAUACGCGUACAGUUUUCUGUGUCUGCGGUGCAGUCACUCUUCGGGCCUGCAUGGCUUCCAGCCACUUAAUUAACCUCUUGGGAGCUCAGUCACUGCCUCUGAACGAGGUGAUGUAUCCCUAGCUAGGUACUCCUCAGAUGAAAGAAGUGAUAUUAUCCUAAUUACCACAGUACCAUCCUGCUGCAAAUGGACUGCUUGUGCUUGGUUACCUACCACAGAUUUAAUCCGUGAGUGUAACACUCUUCUCUCCGUGUUUUCACAGCCCGGCUUUUCAGAGGAAGGCCCUUUGUUCCCAACUAGGAUGAUAAAUGGGUUUAGCUUUAUUUUCUCAGAGGGAAGCUUAAGUGAUUGUGCUGUCUGUCAUCUGUCUACGCCGAUAAGUUUUUAACUGCCACAGCAAAUUAUAAUUAUUUCCAAAGAAAAAAAUCGCUAGAGGCAGACAGCUCCAUGAUAAUGAUAUUUCUAUGGAUUUUGUGAAAGACAGCAGCAGACUGGGUUGGGGCUAGGGAGGAGGAGGAGGGAGAGGACAGAGCGCAAGACCACGCUGAGAGCGUGCCAUGUCAAGGAAAUCUGGGGGGCCUCAGCUGAUCCUCCGCCCGUCCUGGCCGAAGGCAGCCAGCCAGUCAGUCCGCAGGCACCGGAGCGUCUCUCCGAACGGCUCACGAGACCCACCGCCCCUGGGUAUUAUUUCACAGGGGACGUCACUGCGGCCGCAGCUGCCGCGGUGCAGAGGGGGAGCAGGCACAGACCUUCUGUGGGCCGGCUGUGAUGGAGGGAAAAGAUCUUGUUUUGAUGCAGGCACUGGCACUAUUUUGCCCUGGGCCUGUACUUGCAGGUUGCAAAACCUGGGUGGUGGAUGGGCUGGGCUGGUGGGUGCCUCCAGGGAGGACGGAUUGGCUAAGUGCAAGGCAUGGUUAGAAUAUGCUCCAUGCUGUAACUAACUGAACGUAAUAGUGCAUUGCUAACAAAUACUUGUAACGUGGGGGACAAUGUGUUCUCUGUGCUCAGAGACCUGCCAAUGCACUAAGGAAAGCUGCUAAGGCCAGGUUUGUAAAUGCAUUUAGGUGACUCAGCCAAGAUAUUUGAAGAUAGGUAGAGCCUAAUUCUCUCUGACACCAAAAGGGGUUCUGACUUACACUGCAUGGGAAGUCAUGUCUUUA